AGCGAAGUGCAAAUUAGCAAUCUGCACGUUUAGCCGCCAUGGUUUUAACGGAUAUAGCCGAAGUACAGGAUGACCGCCUCGUAAGCCGUUAUGUAAAUCCCGAAA
rnacentral:sRNA from 12 species